CAGAAUGUCAAUUGUGCCACUGGAAUGUCUCAUAUCAAAAGCCGAUGGAAUUUGCUUCGUUCAGCCACACAGAGGAACUGCACCCUCAGUGCUGCCAGAAAACUCAGUCUGGAAUUGAUUUCUAGAGUUGUCUCCCAGAGCACAGUUGAAUUGAUUGCUUUUUGAGAAAUUCUCUAAGGGAUUUGCUGACCAUGUGCCUACUAGACUGCCUGUGUCUCUCUGGCUGGAGCAGAACCUGAAGAAGGAAGGUCCUAGUGCUCAUCAAGUAGAAGGGUCUUUUGGGAGAAGAUCCAUUCUUAGAAAUGCAGUGCCAAGAGUUGAAAUUGGCAACUUGGACAAUAUGAUAAAGAGAAAAAGCAGGAAGUAACCAUUUGGACAUCCAAACUGAAAGGCCAGGUGAAGAACCCCAAACACUAGGAGACUAAAGAAGAAGAAGUUAUGAUCCAAAUCAAGUCUGAAAUUUCUUUCAACUGAUUGCUUUCCCUGCUAGUAACUCCAUAGGCAAUACUACUUCUUUCAAAAAUCAGUGAACAGAAGUGCUAUGAAGAAAAAAAUUGGGAGAAGUCUUCAUUCUUCCCUUCUGCAGUCCCAGUGGAAAAUCCACCGUGUUUACGAGGCCUCAAACUCUGACUUUCUGUCUCAUCCGCCUGGGAGACUGCUGGAGGUUCUGAUCGACGCCUGCCACCUGUGAAUUGGUAAGUCCCUCAAGGGGAAAAUUGUCACAGACUGUCUCUGUGUUCCUUUUUUCUUUAGGAUCCUGGACCCAUAUGUCCUGAUUUUGAAAUAUUUUUAUCUGGGCUGCUAGUUACUCUCAAUAACAAAAUUAGUCCAUAAAACCUAGUUUGUUAUAAUUUAAAUAGAGAAAAUUCCUUACUUAUUUAAUGUGUAUAUGAAAAAAAUAACUAGUGCAUAAAAAUUAUGAUAAUUUUUCAUUUAAAAAGGAAGCAAUUUAAAGAAAAAAGUGCUGAGUAAAAACGUUACACAUGAUAUGCUAUGCUGUUUUCAGUUCACUGCUUUAGUACAUAGUAGGUUUUCAACAUUUAUGGUCAAGUCUCUACUACUCUUGCUUUGAAUACUGCAAGUUACCUUCCUGGUCUUUCUGCCUUCUGUCUAUCACUCCUCAUUCAAAAUAUAUGUCAUACCCUAAUCUAAAAUAUUUAAAACACAAAACUGGUCAUAUUCACCUUUUGGUUGAAACCCUUCAAUGGAUCUUAUAUCGGUAAAACUUCUUUCAGAGUAAAAGUGGCUUGAAUAUGAAUAUACUUAACUUGCUCACAAGCAACAGAUGUAAAGUUAACCAGUUUGAAAGGUGGUAAGUUAGUUUAGUAAUGUCAGAGAGCUGGGUUGGUUUCUCUGAAAUUCUUUUGGUUUUCUAUUCAUGGACUCA